GGAAGGUAAUUGGUUAAUUAUAAUAAACCAACUGCUUGGCCUCAUAGCUUAGAACAUAGGUGGGUGGAAUAAACAGAAUAGGAUGCUGGGCGGAAGAGGAAGUGAGGUCAGACUCUGCUCUGCUCCCGGAGAGACGCCAUGCUCAGCUCUGCCGGAGAGACACGAUAGCUCUGCGCUCUGAGGCAGACACAUGAAGCUCCCCAGGAUGGACGUAGGUUAGAAUCUUCCCGGUCUCUGGAAUAUCUGGUCUCCGGUUCUUGGUCACCCAAGCAGUGAUGUAUAUGUGCUCCAUUUCAUGAAGUGGGCCUUCAGUCAAAUCAGAUGUCCACAACCUAUCUAGUCUUCUGCCACUAUUGUCCCAGUACAUCUUGCAGG